CGCGUCCUCUGCGAGCUUCCUGCUCUGCGCGCCUCGGAAACAGCCGGACCAGCGAGGACGCCAGUGAACUCACGGAAAAGUCCUGAGACCCUGAGCUGUUGUCAAAACACAGCUUAACCCCCAUUCUCUGGGCCUGAGACCCUGCAGCCCCCACGCUGCUCGACUUCGCUGCCCAGCUUCGGGUCUUACCUGGAGCAACCUGACCAACAAGAAUGCACAAGGCCAGGAGCCGAGAACAGAGACUCCAGAUGGGGAACAGAAGGAAAAGGCCGAACCGGAGCUGACCUUGGCCACAUAAAUGUCAUAGAGCUUCUUCACAGCCUGCUUGAUCUGGUGCUUGUUGGCUUUAACAUCCACAAUGAAUGUAAGUGUGUUGUUUUCUUCUAUGUUCUUCACUGCCGACUCAGUGGUCAGCGGCAACUUGAUGAUAGCAUAGUGGUCAAGCUUGUUCUCCGGCGGGCGCUCUCCCGAGGAUAUUUGGGCAGCCUCUGGAGUUGCAGUGUCACCGGAAAGUGAGUGACGUGUGGGUCUUCUUUUUUGUGUGGCUGUGGAUGCCUUUCAACACUGCCUUCUUGGCCUUCAAAGCCUUCACUUUGGCUUCCUUCCACUUUAGGAGGGGCAGGAGCUUCCUUCUUUUCUUUCGGCGCCAUCUUGUGAAAAGGCUACUUUUUUUUUUUUUUUAAUUGUGGAAAAA